GCUUAUUUCACUGGGACACAGCUGCAGACCUUCUCAUUUCCUGCUGGCUUUAUCUCUGCACCUCCCGCGGGGAAUAAAUCCAGAACCGUGUCUGAAGCAGGGCCACAAUCAAACUGGAGAGAGCAGGAAGUUCCAAACAAAACAGAAAAAUGAACUUUGGGGGUUAGUAGAAGAUCAAGAAGGGCGGGCAGGCAACUACCAGCUUCUCCUUCGGACCCUGAAACAGCCCCAGGAAGAGGUGAGGACAAGAGAGAAGACUUCUCAAGCCUACAAGAGGAAGUGGACCCGAGAGACACGCACAGGUCUCUUUGGAAGUCGGAGGAAGACAGAUAUUCAGAGAAGCUACUCUGGGCAAGGGAUUAGAAUCCCUUAAACUCGCAGGGCAAAAGGGGC
rnacentral:lncRNA from 1 species